ACAUGGGUCUUCUUUUCUAAAGAAGUUUUGUCUGGUACCAGUGCUACUGUCCAUGAAUCAUAUAGCUUGGAAAAUGAAAUGGAAAAAGGUUCUAUUUUUCAUUGAGUCAAUCUACAUAUUGAAAUUCUUUCUCACGAAAUAAUAGAAAUGUAUGGAUGGGUUUUAUUUUCAUAAUUAUUUUUCUUGGGAUGAGAAAAGAUGCUAUAGCCUACAUUUAUAACAGAAAAUAUGUUCCGAGCAAAAACUGUUUUAGUAAUUCCAAGUAUAAUUGUCUAAUUUUUAGUUAUCAAUCUGGCUUGAGUUUACUUCCUGCAGCAGCUUGCAUUCUGAUUUAGGCAAUAUCAAUAUGGAGGUCAAGUUUAGAGCCAUGGUAGUUUAUCUGACUAUGGAAGAUCAUCUUCACUUAAAAAAACCAAAGUAGUGGGCAUGAUUUUUGAAUAAAAAUACAAAUGCAAAGAUGAUAUUUUGUUUCUUUAUUGAAUGGUUUGUUUGCUGCUUGUAAGUCGUUUUGUUGAAUUUUUCAAUCUCCUGAAAGGGAAUUGUGGACCACUUUAAUGAGAAUGAGAUUAUGAUUUGUUGGUGUUCAAUCAAUGUUUCAGAAUUUGUGGUUGUGGGGAUUGGGUGGAACAGACUAUUAGGCCUAGUUUCUUUCAAAACAAAAGCAUCUUUUGAGGUCGUAAAUUGGACAAAUUCUCCAAUCUAUGCUGACUCUUUUAAAUACUUGAAAUAUUUAUCCAAUUGCAUUUUCUGCUUUUGGUUUCUGAAUGGUAUGUAUCUUUGUCAUUAGGUCAAUCUGAUGGAAUUCAGAACAUAUAUCAGCAUCACCCAUGUGAAGGGAGAGGGACUAUACUGCUGACAAAACUAGGGUUAGAAAAGCCGAGAAAAAAGAGAAGCAAGGAACACACCACGGGGUGGCACGGCUGUGACUGCAUUGCAGACAGCACAACAUACAGAGGUUGCUCCAACUGGAUAGAGUAAAAGGUUUCGGCAUCCGGAACACACUAGCUGGCUUUGUGCA